rnacentral:rRNA from 1 species
UUAGUCUGGUUAGCAAUCUAUACAGUGGAACUGCGAAUGGCUCAUUAAAUCAGUUAUCGUUUAUUUGAUAGUACCUUACUACUUGGAUAACCGUGGUAAUUCUAGAGCUAAUACAUGCUAAAAAUCCCGACCCCUGGAAGGGAUGUAUUUAUUAGAUAAAAAACCAAUGCCUUCGGGCUCCUUGGUGAUUCAUGAUAACUUAACGAAUCGCAUGGCCUUGCGCCGGCGAUGGUUCAUUCAAAUUUCUGCCCUAUCAAGUUUCGAUGGUAGGAUAGUGGCCUACCAUGCUUUCAACGGGUAACGGGGAAUUAGGGUUCUAUUCCGGAGAGGGAGCCUGAGAAACGGCUACCACAUCCAAGGAAGGCAGCAGGCGCGCAAAUUACCCAAUCCCGACACGGGGAGGUAGUGACAAUAAAUACUGAUACAGGGCUCUUUGUGGUCUUGUAAUUGGAAUGAGUACGAUCUAAAAACUCUAACGAGGAACAAUUGGAGGGCAAGUCUGGUGCCAGCAGCCGCGGUAAUUCCAGCUCCAAUAGCGUAUAUUAAAGUUGUUGCAGUUAAAAAGCUCGUAGUUGAACCUUGGGCCGGGGUGGUGGGUCCGCCUCACCGCGUGCACUCGCCCGCUCUGGCCUUUCCUUCUGGCAAACCCCAUGCCCUUCACUGGGUGUGGCGGGGAACCAGGACUUUUACUUUGAAAAAAUUAGAGUGUUCAAAGCAGGCAUAUGCUCGAAUACAUUAGCUUGGAAUAAUAGAAUAGGACGUGUGGUUCUAUUUUGUUGGUUUCUAGGAUACCGCAGUG